rnacentral:rRNA from 1 species
UACGUAGGUGUCGAGCGUUAAUCGGAAUUACUGGGCGUAAAGCGUGCGCAGGCGGUUUGUUAAGUCUGUUGUGAAAUCCCCGAGCUCAACUUGGGAAUUGCAAUGGAUACUGGCAGGCUGGAGUAUGGUAGAGGAAGGUGGAAUUCCCGGUGUAGCAGUGAAAUGCGUAGAGAUCGGGAGGAACACCAGUGGCGAAGGCGGCCUUCUGGACCAAUACUGACGCUCAUGCACGAAAGCGUGGGGAGCAAACAGG